AGUGCUGAGGAGCUGCGGAGUGGAGGGCCUGUGGGAAGCCCCGUUCCAAUCUGGUGGGAUGGAAGCAGGAGUGGCUCCUGAGGGGAGGCAAGAACACCUGGACAGAGCACCGAGCAGCCCUCUUUUCUGACACUUGGGGCGAAAGGGGAGAUAACCCAGCACGUCCAGGUGGGCCCGAUGUAACCAAGCAGAAGAGGAAGGUCGGAAGAGUCAGAGCGAUGCCGCAGAAGGCCAAGUCUGUGAUGUGUGAGAAGCCUCUGACACCUUGUGGAUGUGUAAGGACCUAAGCUAAGGAGCUAAGGGUGACCCUGGCUGCCAGCCAGCAAGUUUACCCACAAACAACUUUUCGGAGCCAGCAACCUGAACGAGCUUGGAAGAGGAUUCUUUCCUAGAGUUGCCAGUUAUACGCUCAGCACAACCAACACCUGCGAUACUUGAGGUUGGACCAGAUGAUGUUUUCUUGAGAGAAGCAGAAAACACCAAGUCGGCCUCCACGCAUUGUGGUGUCUAUGGUGACUCCAGAGUCGGCCACCAACUCAGAGCCUUCAUAAAAUCGCACCCUGUGGACAACACAGCCGGAGGGAUCUCCAUGAACUCCAACCCGGGAAUCUCAGAGCAAUGAUUCGCAACAAGAGAAGCACCUCCUAAGUAGAGGUGAAGAAAUGUGCCGGGAAGCUUUGGGUUGUCAGAGUGGCACUGAGUGAUGGAAGCCAGGGAUGCUGGAUAGCGUGCAACGCCCUGGAGAGAACAAUCAAAACCUAUCCUGUGUUCCAUACACUACUGGAAUGUUCCUUAGACACUUGGGUAGGUGCAGAGUCUGUUAAAACUAUCAGGGCCUAGAACCUGGCUCCCUUUCAUUUUUUUGCACAAAUUUUAAUAUAUUUUCUAGAGUAAAUUGAGAAAACUACUGAGUACUUUGUUUUGUUUGAAAAUUAACAUUCUAAAAUGUUCACCAUUUGAGAAAUUCAAAUCACUGUCAGCAACAGCAGUGUAACCUUUGAGUCACUGAUACAACAGUCUGUGUUAGAAUGUCACCUUUACGGUGAUUCUAGGUAUGGGUGCAAGUGUCUAUUUCAUUUUGUCUUCUGGUGUGGCUGUGACCAAGUAUUUAAAUUGUUUUGUUAUAAAUCAUUCUUAUUUUUCUAUUAUAUUGUUAGGGGUCAGAUUGAUUUUCUUUUUCUUUUUUUGAGAUGAGUCUUGCUCUGUCACCAGGCUGGAGUGCAGUGGCGUGAUCUUGGCUGAGUGCAACCUCCGCCUCCUGGGUUCAAGUGAUUCUCUUGCCUCAGCCUCUUGAACAGCUGGGAUUACAGGUGCCCACCACCAUGCCCAGUUAGUUAUUUUUAGUACAGACAGGAUUUCACCAUGUUGGCCAGGAUGGUCUCGAUCUCUUGACCUCAUGAUCCGCCUGCCUCGGCCUCCAAAAGGGCCCUGGGAUUACAGGCAUGAGCCACCAUGCCUGGCAGAUAUUUUAAGAUUAUGUGAGUAGGUAGGCUGUAAUUUCUAUGAUUCCAUUUUGGGACGGAAAAGGGGACAUUUCAAAAUAUUUAUUAUAAAAAAGGGGCAUUGGGCUUAGGGCUGAGAACAUGAUCAUCUUACUUGAGGCAAAGUAAGAUGACAUUUGAUGUCAUUUGAUAUAAUGUCACAAAGAGAAACAAAAUCUGAAUUUGCACUCAUCACCCUUUUUUCCACAAGGCUGCUUUCCUGGCCUGAUGAGAAUGCACUCAGUACUCCUUCCUAAAUAUACUACGUAGGCAAGGAUGGAUGUUGAUCUGCAAGUUCAGUAAAUGAAGAAAAAUACUAUCUACAUUUCAGAGAUACAGCCCUGAGCCUCCUAACUCCCAAGAAUACUUUCUUAAAAAAAAAAAAUUCCUAUAAAGAAACAGGACAGACUACUUUGGCUUACAUGACACAUACUCUCUUUGCCUCACAGUAACAUGAUCAUGUUCUCAGCCCUAUUAAGCCCAGUGCCUCUUUUUUAUAAUAACUAUUUUGAAAUGCCCCCUUUUCUGUCCCAAAGUGGAAUCAUAGAAAUUACAACCUACACAGUUCAUGCCAUGUGUAGGAGAUGCCAAGCUUUGUGCUGGGCAGUGAGGAGACCAAGAUAAAAUAAUGCAAGUGCUGCCCUCAGGGAGUUUGUGAUCUAGUAGGAAGACAGACUGUAAGGGACGUAGUACUGUCAGGGUGAAAUGUGCAUGUGUAAGUGAUUACACAGGGCCCAGAGGCAUCACAGGGGAGGGUGUGGAAAACAGAUCCGGACACACCUCUUAUCUCCUACCCAUUGGCAUGUCCACCCGCAGGCUUCUCUGUAGAGCAUGGCAGAAGAGCACAGCCAUCCACGUGCACCAACCCCACAACGCUGGGUCCUCCCUUCAGCUCUGCUCCUUCUAUCCCCAUCUUGGCCCUACCAUCCUGUCCAGGUGGUCCGUCUGAGCCUGAGUGCCUUCUCCCCCAUCUCUUUACUGGGUUCCCCAUCCUGCAGUCACAAAAGUCCUGGCAUGUCCUUGGCGACUAUCCUAGGUCAGAAUAAGGCUCUGGGAUGCAGAACAGUGUGCGCUUUGCUUCUAGAGCAAGGUGAGGAGACGGAUCUCCCACCUACCUGAUGUAACCCACUUGCGGCCUGUGCUGUAGGAACCAGCGGUAGGACACCUUGUCCUUCCAGCCCACGUUCCUGGAGUCCUUCCACAGCAGCCUGACCUGGUCGCUGGUGUCCCCCGUGUGCCACAGGGAGUUCCGGAGAUGCUCCCCUGGACCUGUCUUAGACUUCACAGCCUGGACAAUGACAUGAACAAGGUUUUAGGAUAGGACAGAGACCCCACCCUUCCUGCUUCCUGGAUCUGAAGUGCUGAUCCAGGUUACAGCCAUGGUUACAGUCUGGCUGCCUUGGAUUCAGAACAAAGCAUACACACGUAAAUGUCAUUUCAAGGAGGUGACCCCAACGCUUUACUACUAAGCCUUGCCCAGUAUUCCACUACACAUCCCAUGUUGUUCCUGCCGCAAAUCCACUGUUCCCUGCAUUUGCCCAGUGAGGGCUCCCAUCAGAUAUCUAGCUACUUAAGUCAGCCUUGUGUCCUAGCACGAGUGACAGAGGUAGCCCUUCAGCCCUCCUGUACAAAGUUGGACCCACUGAUGAAACUUAUUAGACAGUUUCCAACACAGUGUGCCUGAAGAUGCACUCCAGCCUUCCCCUCUAUGAACUCACGUGGGCUGGAAUUCCCACCAUUAGAGGUUAGAAUGUAGCUGCUGCACAGGAAUAAAGGCAAAGCCCUGGGUGGGCUCUAGCCUUCCCUGAGUCUAACGUGAGCAUAAAUGCAUCAAUUUUUAGAUUAAGUACCAUAUGGGAGAACACAACAUUUUAAAAAAGCAUGAAGGUUCCAGAAGAAAGGGAGAUGAAUGACUUCAAACCACCAAUACCUUGAGCUGAAUGCCAGGUUCUGCAACUGCUCGGAAUGGGGUGGCUUGCCAGUACGUCUGCUCCGUCUGCUUCCACAUGACCACGUAGAAGCUGGAGCUAUCCUGGUAGCCAAAGAUAAAGCCUGCAUAGUCAUCAUCUGUCUGGGUAUUGACAUGGAAGGUCCCUUCGAAGUCAACUCCAUUAAAAGCCGUGUACCCUGUAGGGAUCAGAUAAGAUUAGAAAAGUAGCCAAGCCACACCAGUAGCUGGAAGAAUUCUAUGGGAGUGGUAACCGAGGCCCUGGACAUACCCACUGCCAGGCCAGGAUCACUGUUCAUGGUCUGCACAAUCUCCAUGCCCUGCAGAGAGAGUAGUGGGAGUUCAGAACGGUCUUGAAAAGGGUCAAAUAACCUUGAGGAAGCUCAAAACCUCAGGCAUCAUGAGUGAGUGGCCAGUGACAUCUGGCCUCCAUAUAAAGAUUUAAUUAUCUGAGCAGUUGCUCUAAUGUGUUAUGUGCUCAAAGAAAGCACGUGCUUGUAAAGGUUAAGAAAAGCUCAAAGCUUAAUAGAAAUAAGUUUGCUAAGACUGUCACUUAAGUUGAUUCAAUGGGCCCUUAACUGGGGAACAUAAAACAUAUACUUCUAAUCAACGUGAAUUGCUCUGUGACUCUGAAAAAACCUAUGGAGCCUCUCUGUGCCUGCCUUUCAUAGUUACACAAUGAGGAGGAUUUGCAGGAGGCAGUCUGCUGCAGAGAUCAGAAGUGUGGGUUCUAGGGUCAGACUGCCUGGGUCCCAAUUCCAGUCAUCUCAGCUACUUACCACAGUGCUACCAUUAUUAAAGCUGUUACAAACAU